rnacentral:lncRNA from 1 species
UUUUAGGUUCACGGAGGCCUAAAGUCACAUGGUUCAAAUGGCUUUUGUUUGUUUCCUAGAAAUAAACAUGUGAGGACAAGGUUAUUUUAUCCCGAUGCCAGUGACGGAAAUGACAUUCUAAUUAUCCUCCAAAGGCUCAGGACAUUUUCCAGUUGCUUCUGCCACAACAAUCUCUGCCAUCUCAGUGCCUCCGAUGUCCCCUGUGAAUCUGUGACGCUCCGCAGCGCCCGCAGGAUGUCACAAAAACUGAUUACUGACCCAUCUUCUCCCUCUUUCAUCUUUCAGUGUCAGCCAAAGCCCCGAAGCUUCGAUCAAAAUGGGGCUUUUGUUUGGGUGGAGAAGAACUGGGCAAUUGUCCUGUGCUGAGGAACUUUUUACCUGGGUGAAACUUUCUGGUCCGAAGAGCAGAGAGGAGGUUACCAGCAUGGAAUUACCCGAGUGACAGAGCCUCCAGGUUUGGGAAAACCAGCCCCUGGCAAGUGGCUGUGGUGAAGACUCUCUUUUGUCUCCAAAUGCUAAUAGUUCUGGAUUCAAAAUCUUUUUUUCUCUUUGACUGGACCCGGAUAUAAUAAAACAAGAAACUUACAGCA